rnacentral:rRNA from 1 species
UACGUAGGGGGCAAGCGUUGUCCGGAAUCAUUGGGCGUAAGGCGCGUGUAGGCGGCUAGAUAAGUCUGCUCUGAAAGCCCGGGGCUCAACCCCGGGAGGCGGGUGGAUACUGUCUAGCUCGAGUCCGGAAGAGGAGUGUGGAAUUCCUGGUGUAGCGGUGAAAUGCGCAGAUAUCAGGAGGAACACCAAUGGCGAAGGCAGCACUCUGGGACGUGACUGACGCUGAGACGCGAAAGCGUGGGGAGCAAACAGG